CCAUCACAAUAGUUCAGAACCCCCUCCCCACUAUCCCAGUUAGAAACAUUCCUAACAUUAAGACUGAGAUUUAACCCUCAAUCCUAAUUAAAAUUUUUGUUUUCUCCAGUUAACCUCUUUUCAAUUUGAGGCAAGAUCAUGAUACAGGAAAUGUUAAGUGUAAAGAAGUGAGUAGAGAAUAUUACACUGUAUCUUAUUGGACAGAAAUGGGAAAGUCAUUAGAGUCUUCUUGAGAAUAUAAAUAGAAGAGAUUAUUGAUAUCGUUGGGAAACAGCCUCAUAAUGGAGACUUUGGGGUGUCCUGAAAAGAAGACUGAACCAAGUUCUUGGAUUUGUCAGCACCUGGACAAGUGACCUUAAAUGCCAUCCUCCCAGCUUCUCAAAGCUGUCACGUCCUGCUUGGCUUCUCCCCCUGAUGAAUCUGCUCUCCCGGCACUCAGCGCUGGCACUGGAGAAACAGCAAUUAAAGUGGCCAAUCAUGGGCACUCCUAAAUCACGGCUGAGUACUGGUGACAUGAUUAACGGCAGAUGCUCCAAGUGCUGGAGUCAGCAUGUUGGAUGCUUCCUUCCUUCCUUCUUCUCUGGCUACCUUGCAGCCACUUGACCUGGAUUUUCUCUGAAAUUUCCUGGAAAAGAUUCAACUUUAUUGGGGUGAUGUUGGACAAGCCAUUUUACUUUUGUUGAUCCUUGGUUUCUUCCUCUGUAAAAUGAAAGGGUUGGAUCUUAAUGUUUUUGUCACAAUCUUGUGCAGUUUUUGGAUCCCUGAUCAGAAUCAUGUUUUUAAAUGCCUCGAAUA